AACGAACGCUGGCGGCAGGCUUAACACAUGCAAGUCGAACGCAUGCCUUCGGGCAUGAGUGGCAGACGGGUGAGUAACGCGUGGGAACCUACCCCUUGGUACGGGAUAGCUCCGGGAAACUGGAGAUAAUACCGUAUGUGUCCUGAGGGACAAAGAUUCAUCGCCAAGGGAUGGGCCCGCGUCGGAUUGGCUAGUUGGUGGGGUAACGGCCUACCAAGGCGACGAUCCGUAGCUGGUCUAAGAGGAUGAUCAGCCACAUUGGGACUGAGACACGGCCCAAACUCCUACGGGAGGCAGCAGUGGGGAAUAUUGGACAAUGGGCGCAAGCCUGAUCCAGCCAUGCCGCGUGAGUGAUGAAGGCCCUAGGGUUGUAAAGCUCUUUCACCGGUGACGAUAAUGACGGUAACCGGAGAAGAAGCCCCGGCUAACUUCGUG
rnacentral:rRNA from 1 species